AGUGAACGCUGGCGGUAGGCCUAACACAUGCAAGUCGAACGGCAGCACAGUAAGAGCUUGCUCUUACGGGUGGCGAGUGGCGGACGGGUGAGGAAUACAUCGGAAUCUACUUUUUCGUGGGGGAUAACGUAGGGAAACUUACGCUAAUACCGCAUACGACCUACGGGUGAAAGCAGGGGAUCUUCGGACCUUGCGCGAUUGAAUGAGCCGAUGUCGGAUUAGCUAGUUGGCGGGGUAAAGGCCCACCAAGGCGCCGAUCCGUAGCUGGUCUGAGAGGAUGAUCAGCCACACUGGAACUGGAACAGGGUCCAGACUCCUAAGGGAGGCAGCAGAGGGGAAUAUUGGACAAUGGGCGCAAGCCUGAUCCAGCCAUACCGCGUGGGUGAAGAAGGCCUUCGGGUUGUAAAGCCCUUUUGUUGGGAAAGAAAAGCAGCAGGUUAAUACCCCGCUGUUCUGACGGUAACCAAAGAAUAAGCACCGGCUAACUUCGUG
rnacentral:rRNA from 1 species